ACUGGCGGGGCAGAGGCUGGGGCGCCCCCUCGGGCCCGCGCAGGGACCGCAGGCGCCCCUCCCGCGCUCGCCCGGCCCGGGCUGCCCCCGCGCGCCCACGCCCCAGGUGUCAGGGCGCGCAUCACCGAGGGGCGCCGUGCCCAGGCCAGGGGGCCAGGGCGGAGCGGGUGGGGGAGAAGCCCAUUUAGAUUCAGAGGGAAGCCGGCCCUGGGAGACGGCCGCGAGGAACAAAGGCGCCCCAGAGCUGCCCACUUAGCAUGCCAGAGCCGCGCUGCUCGGCUCCCAGGCCGGGGACGCGACCCGGUGCCGAGCGGAGGGCUCCGGGCCCCGGGAACUCCUAAGGCCACAGGCACCUCCAAGGCCACCGCCGCACGCAGCUUCGGAGUGCACGGUGCACACGCCCAGGCACAGCAGCCGGGCCCUAGAGAUUGCGAAUGCUUUGGCUUUGAGUAAGGCGCUCAGCUCUACCUUCCUUCUUGCGGUGAUUACUGCCCUUGGUUAUUACCUGAGGGCGUUGCAAGAGCCUUAUUUACACCGCCAAGUUGAGAAUUUAAAAACAUUUUUAAAAAUAGGUUUAUCUGCGUAUCCUGGUGAAGUUAGGAUGCAGAGAACUUGGAGCGGUUGUUUUCUACCAGACACGAGGAUCCCUGUGAAAGAAAGACAGCUAAACCACCAAGGCCCAGCCAACUGGUGGGAUCCUGAAAUGAACUUCCCUUGAAAGCGGCACGUCUUUGCACCCUGUCAGCGAAGAGAUUGUUUACAUGCAAUGAGGCUGAGUUUAAAAGAAGGCAGAAAGAAAGAAGAAAACACUAUGACUACAGUUCUGUGAGUGUGCAUAUCCAAAGGGAGAUACCCAUCCAUAGAAGAUGGUUGCUGUCAGAAAAUGCUGAGGAGUUUGCACAAGGAACGGAAGUGGAGUUGACCAAUGCAUCAGGAAGCGUACACUUUCUUUUUAAACCGCUG